CAUAUACACUCAUACAAAAGAGUCUGGAAGCAAAACAGGAUACGAUGAACUAAAGAUUCUCACUUAUCAAUGAUAAAGACACCUUAAAAAAGGGAAGAAGAGAAGAACCAGUUAUCUGUGGAAUUUAUGAUUCUAUAGGCAGGGGCCCUGUUUGUGGAAAACAGCCACAGAACUUCAUGGGAGAGGAACAAAAACUGGUUCUGGCUUG
rnacentral:lncRNA from 1 species